ACAAACCACCAGUAGAGGAACCUCCGGUUUACAAGCCGCCAGUCGAGAAGCCUCCAAUUUACAAGCCACCAGUUGAGCAACCACCUAUAUACAAACCACCAGUUGAGAAGCCUCCAGUUUACAAACCACCAGUUGAGAAGCCUCCGGUUUACAAACCACCAGUUGAGAAGCCACCUGUAUACAAACCACCAGUUGAGAAGCCUCCGGUUUACAAACCACCAGUUGAGAAGCCACCUGUAUACAAACCACCUGUUGAGAAGCCUCCAGUUUACAAACCACCAGUUGAGAAGCCUCCGGUCUACAAACCACCAGUUGAGAAGCCACCUGUAUACAAACCACCAGUUGAGAAGCCUCCAGUUUACAAACCACCAGUACACCAGUUGAGAAGCCACCUGUAUACAAACCACCAGUUGAGAAGCCUCCAGUUUACAAACCACCAGUUGAGAAGCCUCCGGUCUACAAACCACCAGUUGAGAAGCCACCUGUAUACAAACCACCAGUUGAGAAGCCUCCAGUUUACAAACCACCAGUUGAGAAGCCUCCGGUUUACAAACCACCAGUUGAGAAGCCACCUGUAUACAAACCACCUGUUGAGAAGCCUCCAGUUUACAAGCCACCAGUCGAAAAACCACCGGUUUAUAAGCCACCAGUUGAGCAACCACCUGUAUAUAAACCACCAGUUGAGAAGCCUCCAGUUUACAAACAUCCAGUAGAAAAACCACCUGUUUACAAGCCAC
rnacentral:lncRNA from 1 species